rnacentral:rRNA from 1 species
AUUGAACGCUGGCGGCAUGCCUUACACAUGCAAGUCGAACGGUAACAGGUCUUCGGAUGCUGACGAGUGGCGAACGGGUGAGUAAUACAUCGGAACGUGCCUAGUAGUGGGGGAUAACUACUCGAAAGAGUGGCUAAUACCGCAUGAGAUCUACGGAUGAAAGCAGGGGAUCGCAAGACCUUGUGCUACUAGAGCGGCCGAUGGCAGAUUAGGUAGUUGGUGGGAUGAAAGCUUACCAAGCCGACGAUCUGUAGCUGGUCUGAGAGGACGAUCAGCCACACUGGGACUGAGACACGGCCCAGACUCCUACGGGAGGCAGCAGUGGGGAAUUUUGGACAAUGGGCGAAAGCCUGAUCCAGCAAUGCCGCGUGCAGGAUGAAGGCCUUCGGGUUGUAAACUGCUUUUGUACGGAACGAAAAGCUCUGGGUUAAUACCCUGGGGUCAUGACGGUACCGUAAGAAUAAGCACCGGCUAACUACGUGCCAGCCGCCGCAGUAACAC